UACGGAGGAUCCGAGCGUUAUCCGGAUUUAUUGGGUUUAAAGGGUGCGCAGGCGGAAGAUUAAGUCGGUGGUGAAAUUUUGCAGCUCAACUGUAAAAGUGCCAUUGAUACUGGUUUUCUUGAGUGUGGAUGAAGUAGGCGGAAUUUGUGGUGUAGCGGUGAAAUGCAUAGAUUAUCACGAGGAACUCCGAUUGCGCAGGCAGCUUACUAAACCAUAACUGACGCUCAGGCACGAAGGCGUGGGGAUCAAACAGGAUUAGAUA
rnacentral:rRNA from 1 species